CAUUAAGUGCCCCGCCUGGGGAGUACGGCCGCAAGGCUAAAACUCAAAGGAAUUGACGGGGGCCCGCACAAGCGGCGGAGCAUGUGGCUUAAUUUGACGCAACGCGAAGAACCUUACCAAGGCUUGACAUACACCGGAAACGUCCAGAGAUGGGCGCCCCCUUGUGGUCGGUGUACAGGUGGUGCAUGGCUGUUGUCAGCUUGUGUCGUGAGAUGUUGGGUUAAGUCCCGCAACGAGCGCAACCCUUGUCCCGUGUUGCCAGCAAGCCCUUCGGGGUGUUGGGGACUCACGGGAGACCGCCGGGGUCAACUCGGAGGAAGGUGGGGACGACGUCAAGUCAUCAUGCCCCUUAUGUCUUGGGCUGCACACGUGCUACAAUGGCCGGUACAAUGAGCUGCGAUACCGCGAGGUGGAGCGAAUCUCAAAAAGCCGGUCUCAGUUCGGAUUGGGGUCUGCAACUCGACCCCAUGAAGUCGGAGUCGCUAGUAAUCGCAGAUCAGCAUUGCUGCGGUGAAUACGUUCCCGGGCCUUGUACACACCGCCCGUCACGUCACGAAAGUCGGUAACACCCGAAGCCGGUGGCCCAACCCCCUUGUGGGGAGGGAGC
rnacentral:rRNA from 1 species